rnacentral:rRNA from 1 species
UAGGGAAUCUUCCACAAAUGGACGCAAGUCUGAUGGAGCAACGCCGCGUGAGUGAAGAAGGUUUUCGGACCGUAAAGCUCUGUUGUUGGUGAAGAAGGAUAGAGGUAGUAACUGGCCUUUAUUUGACGGUAAUCAACCAGAAAGUCACGGCUAACUACGUGCCAGCAGCCGCGGUAAUACGUAGGUGGCAAGCGUUGUCCGGAUUUAUUGGGCGUAAAGCGAGCGCA